rnacentral:misc_RNA from 1 species
AAGGGAACCCGGGGCCCGUCCCCGUCCUCCCACCCCUGAAUACGCGAGGCGAUUAUCGAGUUACUUCGGCGGAUCUUUUCGCCGCCGAGCAACCCGCACCAAACUCUAUUUCAACGUGUCGUCUGAGGAAAACACAACGAAUCA